rnacentral:rRNA from 1 species
AACGAACGCUGGCGGCAUGCCUAACACAUGCAAGUCGAACGAGACCUUCGGGUCUAGUGGCGCACGGGUGCGUAACGCGUGGGAACCUGCCCUUAGGUUCGGAAUAACUCCCCGAAAGGGGUGCUAAUACCGGAUAAUGUCUUCGGACCAAAGAUUUAUCGCCUUUGGAUGGGCCCGCGUUGGAUUAGCUAGUUGGUAGGGUAAAAGCCUACCAAGGCGACGAUCCAUAGCUGGUCUGAGAGGAUGAUCAGCCACACUGGGACUGAGACACGGCCCAGACUACUACGGGAGGCAGCAGUGGGGAAUAUUGGAAAAUGGGCGAAAGCCUGAUCCAGCAAUGACGCGUGAGUGAUGAAGGCCUUAGGGUUGUAAAGCUCUUUUACCCGGGAUGAUAAUGACAGUACCGGGAGAAUAAGCUCCGGCUAACUCCGUG